ensembl:lncRNA
AGAGUGGCUGAUGCCUUCCAGCCCUCCCUGCUAAUAUGCACAAAAAUGUAUUUAUGAUAAUUAUGUGGACUGCCUGGAACAAUGCAUUCCAACAUCCUGUAACAUAAAUAAGGAAGGUGGGGCCAGCUGACAUUAAACGGCUUGUUUGCCAGCAAUCCUGAUCCCCACUAUAUAUAUAUAUAUCUGUAUUUGUAUCUAUACCCGUUCUGUUACACGGUCUCAGCCUGGCAGCGUUGAACCUGUUGCUGCAUUAGCUGAGUUGUAUUUUGCUAGAUAGGGGAAGGAGGGUUGUCUGCUGUCUGGUAGGAGGGCUUUGUCUGUGUGUGCUUUUCUCCCUCUCUCUUUCUGUCUCUCACACUCUCGCUUGCUCUCUCUCUCUCUCUCCUCUCUCUCUUUCUCUCGUCUCUGUGGUUUGUAAGGUAGGUUGCAGUGUGUGUAUAUACACAACAUCAAGAGCAGGAAAAUGGACUCAUUAGGGAGGCAGGCAGUCAUUACCAUUCACACUGCACUUCCAGGGAGACAGCGACUAUGAGGAGACACACUGAGGACUGGGGAACAAGACUUACCUGUGGUAAAAAUGAAGAUGUUUCCUGUUGUGUGGAGAUUCAGGUAAUAAUGUUUAAUUUCAGAUUAUUUGGGUUGUUUUUUUAAAAAUUAAAUUAUGAUAGUUCUUUUAGAAAGCAUUUCAUUGGAAAGUUUUAUUCUGUCAGCAGCUCUUCUCUCUACAAAGUUGGCAAUACUGAUUCUUCAGCAAUGGAGAAAAUACCAGUAAACAAAAGUGAAACCGGCUUCAUAUUAAAUUUUGUCUGGUUUAAGUAAACAGAAAGUAAGCAACUGGCAUUUAAAAAAAACCACCUACAUUUUAAAAUGCUGACAUUCUCUCGGAGGACAAUAUUGUUAUAAUAUGAAGAGUCAGAUUUGGGGCUUUUUUGGUUGUAUUUGCUAAUUUUACACUGAAGCAAAAGUUUGCUUCUCAGUCUUGGGACCAAUUCAGUUUAAUUGCAAUGUGUUGUGAAUAUUCUUGUUUGAUUUAAAAUAAUCUAAACAUUCAAGCCUGAAACUUAAUGCUGCUAUAUAUCUCUAUUAUUAUCUUUUAAUUAUAAAUGAACACAUUUUGCUUUUCUGUAGCACUAGUGCCUUUUUCUUUGGUUAUUUGGUGUAGCUUUUUCUUAGUCUUUUAAACUCAUUAACUAAAGUAUUUAUUUCUGCGAGACUUCAGAGAAAGACACUAGGAGUUAAGAAUUUCUAAGGAGCAAUUAUAAACAUAUAACUUCUUUAGAUUGCCAGGUCCAGUUUAGAAUCAGUAGACAGACUUAUAAAAAGGGUCACCAUAUAUAGUUUUAAUGAUGAAGGCUGUAAUUUCAGAAUUAAAUGAGUACAAAUUUGUGUGCUACUAAAAUCAAGUAUUAUGAGCCCCAUUAUAUGUAAUUUAGAUUGCAUCUGCUGUCAUAUAUAAAAUGAAAUUAAAAAUAAUGCACGUUUACUAACUGUGUGGCUUUGAUUAAAUGAGACUGAUGCAGGGGAAGCUGUCUUAUAGCUUCUCUUACUUGGUUUUGAGUAAGCUGGCUCUCACUUAAUAGUGAACCAUAAUCAUAUUAUUUUGCAAGGGGGGGUGGGACACGUCAGUAUUGUUGCUUGUGCUUUACCAGUUCUGUAAAUAUCACAGCUUGUUGAAUUUACACUCUUAAUACCAAAAGAUUGUUCUGAUCUAGUAGCGUUGUACUGCCACAUGAUGAGUGAGAAGAUUAUGAAAUCCAUUCCUACUUUCCUCUCUUCGAUGUCCCGUUCCCAGUCAUCUGCCAGUUAUGUAACUUUAUUUUUUAAAAAAUAUAAAUAAAUUCCUCUAAAUGGCAAGCA